AAGCUCCUUGUACUUAACAUAGGCUGUGUUCUUUGCACCAAUUGUAUAGAAAGAAAAAUUACAGUAUACCCGGCCCUUAUACAUCUCAGCCAGAUCCCUUCCCGGUCUGUAUUGGGAAUGGGGGAAACACAG